rnacentral:lncRNA from 1 species
UUUAGAUUAGAAGUCUGAUUCCGUUGGGCAUUGCCCUCACCCUGGGAUUUGAGGCACAAGUUAAACCCACCUUCAGCUACAGGAAACUAAUGCUCACGACAACUCAGCACUGAGUGAUAGAACAGAUGAGCUCUGCAUUCCCGGGAAGAACCCAAGUGUUCCAGGAAGGCAAUGAAAAAUCAAAGCAAUGAAAGAGCUGCAAAUGUUCUCCAGCCAUCAGCCUGCAGCCAAGUUGUGAGUUGCAAACUAUUAUGCUCAGCAGAGAGAAUAAUGGUUACUCCACUAUACCCUCAGGGGGCCAAACUGUGACCUAGAGCCAGAAGCAGUGCAUAAAGGUAAAACCAGAGACCAUGGACUCAGGAUUCCUGGACUGGACCCUGUUUCCACCCCUUACCAACUUGUGAUCUCAGGCAAUUUUCCUCAUCUGUAAACUUGAGAUAAUACGAAUGCACAU